GUGAGAAAUAAAAUAAUGAAUAGAAGGAAGAAUAAAAUUAAUGAACAGAAGGAGUACUUCACCAAAGAGAUUGAAACUUUAAAAAAACAAACAAACAGAAAUUCUGGAGCUGAAGAACACAAUUAAUGAGAUAAAGAAUAAAGCAGAAAGCAUUGGAAAUAAAAAAAACAGUAUGAAAGAGAGAAUUAGUGAGCUGGAAGAUAGAAAUCUAGAGAAACAGAGAAACUGAGACAUACACACAAAGAGAAAGCUAAUUGUACACAAGUUACUUGUGCAGUCAUUAAAAGACUAUACAGACUAAAUAGAGACUAGAGAACCACAUUGGGAACUCAUGUCAAAAUGUGUUCUAAAAAAGUCACAGCCAGAUGUGUCCAAAUGCCUUCUUUGUCAAGACAGUACAUGAUAUUAGCUUUGCAAAAAUUUCUAUGAGAUUUUUCAGAAAUAAGGUAGACUUCAUCAAACGAAAAAAAAGAAGAGAGGGAGAAACUUAAUUUUGAUAAAAUGGCAAAGGCUGAUAAACAUUGACAUGACAAAAUAUAAAAAAUUAUGGACAAGCUAAAAGAGAGCUAAAAAAAGGGAUCCCAUGGCCUCAAGCUAUCUUAGGUUCUCCCUAUUUGGCUCAGAACCAGCUUCCCAGCAAUGCUGCACAUCCAGACACCUCUCUUAGGAGAUGGGGGAAAUGUGCUCAAAUGAGGACCAGUUUAAGUAAUAUUUAGAAGCAUUCUUUAAAUAGUAAGGCAAGCCUUUAAGGAUUGUAGGAAAGGUGUUGCAACUGAAGUCUAAAGAAAGUUUCGAAUGUCCCAAGAGAGCAACUAACAUCAAUCAUGAAGCAGAGGAAGAAAAGGAGGAAAAUGAAGAGGAGGAAAGAGGAGACUAUGAAGGAGGUCGCUCCUGAAGGCCACCCACACUGGAGCGUUGAAAGAAUUUCCCUUCCGUACCAAAUAAGCCCAGCGGGAAAGAAACAGGAUCCUGUGCUCGGUGUGCAGCCCUGGCCUUUCUGACAAGUAGGAAGAAAGUGAAAUACCAGCGGAGUGUGUUUCCACCAACUGGCUACAUACAAACAUUUCUGCUCAAGAACAAAGCUACACCCCUCCCGAAGUCUGCUUGUGCCCGUUACUUUGUUCAACUGCAAUUUGUUCUUGAGAAAAUAUUAUCCCUGUAAUUCUAUCUAGUGGGUGGAUCCUUCAACUUUCUGUCUUCUAGAUGCUGGUUGUUAGCUGAACUGUCUGCCUUUCUAGAAUAUUUUUUGUAAUCAUUUCAUGGGUCAG
rnacentral:lncRNA from 1 species